AACGUAGGUGACAAGCGUUAUCCGGAUUUACUGGGCGUAAAGGGUGUGCAGGCGGGGGGAUAAGUGGUGUAUGAAAGUGCCCGGCUUAACCGGGCGAGGCUAUGCCAGACUGUCCUUCUUGAGCGCGAGAGAGGAGCGUGGAAUUCCGGGUGUAGUGGUGAAACGCGUAGAGAUCCGGAGGAACCCCAGAGGCGAAGGCGGCGCUCUGGCUCGCGACUGACGCUCAGACACGACAGCAUGGGGAGCGAACGGG
rnacentral:rRNA from 1 species